GUCCACAGCCACACCACCCUGAACACAGCCCAUCUUGUCUGAUCUCAAGCUAAGCAGGGUCGGGCUGGUUAGUACUUGGAUGGGGGACUACAGAUGUCUCCUGCUAACAGCUAUGGCUU
rnacentral:rRNA from 1 species